rnacentral:misc_RNA from 1 species
UCAAACUUGGUCAUUUAGAGGAAGUAAAAGUCGUAACAAGGUCUCCGUUGGUGAACCAGCGGAGGGAUCAUUAGAGAGUAUAAAAACUCCCAACCCAUGUGAACCUACCUCUCGUUGCCUCGGCGGAGAGAGGGCUACCCGUCAAGGGCCACCCGGGUCUCGCUACCCGGAAGGCCUGGGUGUCCUCCCGCCGCCGCGGGCCCACGAAACUCUGUUUUACUUUGGAACUCUGAAUGAAAAACAAAUAUACUUUAAAACUUUCAACAACGGAUCUCUUGGUUCUGGCAUCGAUGAAGAACGCAGC